rnacentral:rRNA from 1 species
GCAGCGGAGCGUGUUGGUUUAAUUCGAGUUGUUACACGAAGUAACCUUACAGGGUUUGACAUGCAAGUGGUAGGAAGCCGAAAGGUUGACCGACCCUUCGGGGAGCUUGCACAGGUGCUGCAUGGCUGUCGUCAGCUCGUGUCGUGAGAUGUUCGGUUAAGUCCGCUAACGAGCGCAACCCUCGCUGUGUGUUAUAUGUGUCACACGGGACUGCCGGUCUUAAGCCGGAGGAAGGUGGGGAUGAUGUCAAGUCAGCAUGGCCUUUAUAUCCUGGGCUACACACACGCUACAAUGGCCAACACAAUAGGUUGCUAAGCCGCGAGGUGGCGCCAAUCCAUAAAGUUGGUCUCAGUUCAGAUUGUAGGCUGCAACCCGCCUGCAUGAAGAUGGAGUUGCUAGUAACCGCAGGUCAGCUAUACUGCGGUGAAUACGUUCCCGGGGCUU